ACGUAGGGUGCGAGCGUUAAUCGGAAUUACUGGGCGUAAAGUGUGCGCAGGCGGCGUCGCAAGUCGAGUGUGAAAUCCCCGGGCUUAACCUGGGAACUGCGCUUGUAACUGAUAGGCUUGAGUGUGGCAGAGGGGGGUGGAAUUCCACGUGUAGCAGUGAAAUGCGUAGAGAUGUGGAGGAACACCGAUGGCGAAGGCAGCCCCCUGGGCUAACACUGACGCUCAUGCACGAAAGCGUGGGGAGCAAACAGGA
rnacentral:rRNA from 1 species